rnacentral:rRNA from 1 species
AGUGAACGCUGGCGGUAGGCCUAACACAUGCAAGUCGAACGGCAGCAUAGUAAGAGCUUGCUCUUACGGGUGGCGAGUGGCGGACGGGUGAGGAAUACAUCGGAAUCUACUUUUUCGUGGGGGAUAACGUAGGGAAACUUACGCUAAUACCGCAUACGACCUACGGGUGAAAGCAGGAGAUCUUCGGACCUUGCGCGAUUGAAUGAGCCGAUGUCGGAUUAGCUAGUCGGCGGGGUAAAGGCCCACCAAGGCGACGAUCCGUAGCUGGUCUGAGAGGAUGAUCAGCCACACUGGAACUGAGACACGGUCCAGACUCCUACGGGAGGCAGCAGUGGGGAAUAUUGGACAAUGGGCGCAAGCCUGAUCCAGCCAUACCGCGUGGGUGAAGAAGGCCUUCGGGUUGUAAAGCCCUUUUGUUGGGAAAGAAAAGCAGCAGGUUAAUACCCCGCUGUUCUGACGGUACCCAAAGAAUAAGCACCGGCUAACUUCGUG